rnacentral:rRNA from 1 species
AGAAAAUAGAUACCCGGUAGUCCACGCCGUAAACUAUGGAUGCUAGCCGUUGGUAAGCAUGCUUAUCAGUGGCGCAAGCUAACGCAUUAAGCAUCCCGCCUGGGGAGUACGGCCGCAAGGUUAGAACUCAAAGGAAUUGACGGGGGCCCGCACAAGCGGUGGAGCAUGUGGUUUAAUUCGACGCAACGCGCAGAACCUUACCAGGCCUUGACAUCCCGUGCUACGCGCUGAGAGGCGCGGUCCCCGCAAGGGGCGCGGAGACAGGUGCUGCAUGGCUGUCGUCAGCUCGUGUCGUGAGAUGUUGGGUUUAAAGUCCCGCAACGAGCGCAACCCUCGCCUUUAGUUGCCAUCAUUUAGUUGGGUCACUCUAAAGGGACCGCCGGCGACAAGCCGGAGGAAGGUGGGGAUGACGUCAAGUCCUCAUGGCCCUUACGGCCUGGGCUACACACGUGCUACAAUGGUGGUGACAAU